CAACAGCUGCUUCAGUUUUGCCCAAAGUUGGGCAGGAAGGCUUGGGUCACCAGGUGGUACUAUUAAUAACUCUGGGUAAGCCUGUCCCCAAGCUGGCUGGCAGCUUCCAUAAAGCCUGAGCAGAGGACCCAGAAAGUCUUCUUCAGCCCCCGAGACCUUUAAAUCCCAUGUUGUGAGACAAAAAAGAAAAGAUCUUGUGACUGUGAAUUCAGCGAUGUCUCCCUGCACCCAGGAGACACUUGUCAAUGUCUUUCAUAUGGAACUGAACCAGCUGGCACCAAAAGAUAGAAAAACAGGUUGCUGGAUUUGGAGACAUCAUUCUUGAGGCAUGAGGUUGAGGAACAUGAGGGUGGCUAUUCCUUGGAACAGGGGAAAGCCUGGAAAAUGGACACCAUGAUUAAUUUUGGAGCAUGCAAAUCUCCAGUUGCUCUCCCCAGAAGUCUGUAUGUUGCUGAGCAAAUUUUAGCAUACCCAGUUUGAAAAGGAAAAGGACAACAGAAAUCUUGCUGGGGAGAGUUGAGUCUUGGGUGCUGAGAGUCCAAGCCAGGGUCAGUGGAAUCACAAAUAAUUGCAGACCAACCACAACAGCCGGUGAUCCAAUGGCAAUGGAAAGACGAGUGGUAAUAAAUUGUGGUAUGAGAAUGCAAUGGGAUAUUAUUGAAUCAUGAGAAAUGGAAGACUGAAGACAUUCAGAGGGACUUGGCUAGAUUUGCACAAACCAGUAUGGAACAAAGUGAACAGGACAAGGAGGAGGAUUUCUGUGAUGACUGCAAUAAUGUAAAGAGAAGCAACAGGGGAAAACUUCAGAACCCUGUCCAAUGGAAGGCUCACUGGUGAACAUGGAUGAUGGAGGCUUCUGAGGUCAAGUCUCCUGCCUUUCUGCAGAGAGGUGCUGAGUUCCAGGUGUGGAAUGGAGCUUCCAUUUUCAGACAUUGCCUAUAUGUUGAAUUGUUUUGAUUUACUUACAAAGCAAAGACUCAGGGAUGAGUGGUUACUAGUAAUAAUUAUGUAACAAAGGAAACCAAUAAAACAUUUUUGAAAGGACAAA